rnacentral:rRNA from 1 species
AACGGGGUCUAAUACCGGAUACGACACACGACCGCAUGGUCUGUGUGUGGAAAGCUCCGGCGGUGAAGGAUGAGCCCGCGGCCUAUCAGCUUGUUGGUGGGGUGAUGGCCUACCAAGGCGACGACGGGUAGCCGGCCUGAGAGGGCGACCGGCCACACUGGGACUGAGACACGGCCCAGACUCCUACGGGAGGCAGCAGUGGGGAAUAUUGCACAAUGGGCGAAAGCCUGAUGCAGCGACGCCGCGUGAGGGAUGACGGCCUUCGGGUUGUAAACCUCUUUCAGCAGGGAAGAAGCGAAAGUGACGGUACCUGCAGAAGAAGCGCCGGCUAACUACGUGCCAGCAGCCGCGGUAAUACGUAGGGCGCAAGCGUUGUCCGGAAUUAUUGGGCGUAAAGAGCUCGUAGGCGGCUUGUCACGUCGGAUGUGAAAGCCCGGGGCUUAACCCCGGGUCUGCAUUCGAUACGGGCAGGCUAGAGUUCGGUAGGGGAGAUCGGAAUUCCUGGUG